GUUUCUGUCUUCAAGAAGCUUACAUACUAUUGGGAGAAUGGGGUUUAGAUACAAUAUAUAAAUAGAUGAUUUCCACAGCUUUUUCUGAGAAACCCCAAGGUAAACCUUCAAAUACUGAAGAGAAAACAACUCUGAAAGAGAAUGGAAAUUAUCAGGGAAGUAAACCUAUUUUCUUUCCAGUUUCCUUUAAAAAUACAUUAUACAAUAUUAUACAGUAUAUUAUUAUAUACAUUAUAUUAUUAUUUAUUAUUAUAUUAUACAUGUAUAUUAUACAUUAUACAAUAUUAUGCAAGAAUCGUACAUAGUUCUGUGAGUUAAUAGUGUUGAAAACAAUGAAGUCAUAAAGGUCAAAGAUAUCAGGUAACAAACAUUUUUAAAAUUUAAGAAAAAAUAAUACUUCUUAUAGACAGUUUUUGUUUUUAUAUCACCUAAAUUUUCUUCUGAAUGCCUUUUCCCAGAAAAUUAUCCCUCAUUACAAAGAUUUUUUUUUUAGGGAAAAAAAAGGGAAAAAAACAGCAAAAUCAAUUAGUACAUGAAAAGAAAUCUGAUAUUAUAUGCAAUAUUUCUUAUUUAGGAACUCUCCUUCUCCACUUGUACAAAGAAGUGAAAAGAGCAUUAGCAAGGUGACAGUGUAUCUUCUCUACCAAGAAAAAACUGCAUUUUCUCCAAAGCCCAGAUAUCAUGAAAGUACUAGGCAGGAUUCUGGCUAUCUGAUCUGUGCAUUGUCACUGUAUUCGGGAGAAGAGACCGAGGUUGACGACUUUGCACAGCUCUGCCUCACUUAAAUCCAAUUCACUUAUAAGUCAAGACACCACCCACCUGAAGUCAUUGAUCCUUUUUGAGAAUGAAGGCCGAACAACUACCCCUUGUAAAGAGCACAGCUCAUCAUCGGGAUGAAUCAAAAUCAGUG
rnacentral:lncRNA from 1 species